rnacentral:rRNA from 1 species
UACAGAGACUGCAAGCGUUAUUCGGAUUCACUGGGCGUAAAGGGUGCGCAGGCGGCCAAGUGUGUCAGGUGUGAAAUCCCGGAGCUUAACUCCGGAACUGCGCCUGAAACUACUUGGCUAGAGCAUUGGAGAGGGAAGUGGAAUUCACGGUGUAGCAGUGAAAUGCGUAGAUAUCGUGAGGAACACCAGAGGCGAAGGCGACUUCCUGGACAAUUGCUGACGCUCAGGCACGAAAGUGUGGGGAUCAAACAGG